rnacentral:rRNA from 1 species
AUUGAACGCUGGCGGCAUGCUUUACACAUGCAAGUCGAACGGCAGCACGGGCUUCGGCCUGGUGGCGAGUGGCGAACGGGUGAGUAAUAUAUCGGAACGUACCCAGCAGUGGGGGAUAACGUUGCGAAAGUUACGCUCAUACCGCAUACGAUCUAUGGAUGAAAGCAGGGGACCGCAAGGCCUUGUGCUCCUGGAGCGUCCGAUAUCUGAUUAGCUAGUUGGUGAGGUAAAGGCUCACCAAGGCGACGAUCAGUAGCUGGUCUGAGAGGACGACCAGCCACACUAGAACUGAGACACGGUCCAGACUCCUACGGGAGGCAGCAGUGGGGAAUUUUGGACAAUGGGCGCAAGCCUGAUCCAGCAAUGCCGCGUGAGUGAAGAAGGCCUUCGGGUUGUAAAGCUCUUUUGUCAGGGAAGAAACGGUAGAGGCUAAUAUCCUUUGCUAAUGACGGUACCUGAAGAAUAAGCACCGGCUAACUACGUG